GGUCUGAUGGUUAACGAAACCACGGCAUAGAGGCACUGCAAACAUCCGAGAUGAGCAAACUAAGCUUGUCCGUAGUUUGCAGUCCUCGAUGUCGUAGUUUUGUUUUUCCAUCUAUUGU
rnacentral:pre_miRNA from 1 species